rnacentral:lncRNA from 1 species
UGGAAUCGACUUACGCUGAUUUUUACCCUAGCUUUGUUGCUAAAAGAGCUUGGCAUAUCGGUCCGCUUUCGCUCUGCAACAGAGAGAUAGCGGAGAAAGCUGGAAGAGGCAAGAAGGCGAGCAUUGAUGAGCAAGAAUGCCUCCAGUGGCUCGACUCUAAGACACCUGGUUCAGUUGUUUACAUGUCCUUUGGCAGUGGAACUAACUUCACCAACGAGCAACUGUUAGAGAUCGCUGCUGGUCUUGAAGGCUCUGAACAAAACUUCAUCUGGGUGGUUAGGAAAAAUGAUAACAAAGGUAAUAUGGAUAACUCACUCAAAAUUUCAUUGUUGCUAUACCUCAUUUGAUAGCAUGGUGUUGACUGUUGAAUUACGUAACAAUUAUUUAUUGUUAUUUUUUGACUAAUUACAUAACAAUUAUGAAAUGAAACUUGGUGUUGAUGCGGUUUGGGACAGGUGAAAAUGAGGAGUGGUUGCCUGAAGGGUUUGAGGAAAGAACGAAAGGUAAAGGGCUGAUCAUACGCGGGUGGGCUCCACAGGUGCUUAUACUUGACCACAAAGCGGUUGGAGGAUUUGUGACGCAUUGCGGAUGGAACUCGGCUAUUGAGGGCAUUGCUGCUGGGUUGCCUAUGGUAACUUGGCCGAUGGGAGCAGAGCAGUUCUACAACGAGAAGCUUUUGACAAAAGUGUUGAAAACAGGAGUGAACGUGGGAGCUACGGAGUUGGUGAAAAAAGGAAAGUUAAUUAGUAGAGAGGAAGUUGAGAAGGCAGUGAGAGAAGUGAUAGUUGGUGAAGAAGCAGAAGAAAGGCGGGAACGGGCCAAGAAGCUAGGCGAGAUGGCUAAAGCAGCUGUUGAGGAAGGAGGAUCUUCUUUUAAGGAUUUGAACAAGUUCAUGGAAGAGGUGAAUGGUAGAAAGUAGAAUAGAGACAGAACAUGUGUUCAUGUUGUUUCAUGUUGUGAGGUGGGUUCUUAGCUUUAUUAGCUUUAGCUACUAUUGUUGAGUUAUGUUGAGAGAUAAGUCUAUAGUGUAAGAGCAUGUUUAUUGCUAAAACUUUAACUGUUGCUUAAGUGGUUCUUAAUGAAUUUUUAAGUAUUAAAAUUAAGCUAAAAUAAUGUUAAGAAACACUUAAUUAUAGUGGUUUAUUGGUAGUUGCUUAAUUUAAGGUUCUUAACAAUAAAAAAAUAUUAAAUUUAUUUUUAAACAUAAAAUUUCAGUUAAACAUAACAUUUUAAACAUAAAUUUUAAAAUACAAACAUAAAAUCAGGAAAACAAAAAUUACUAAAAAAACGAUAAUAAUUUGAAAGAGACAUCGAAGCUCAGUUGUUAUCUUGAUCACGUCCAAAUUUACGCCAUAUAUGUUCAACAAAAUCACAUUUCAGUUGUUGAUGCGCUUGUCUAUCACAAAUUCUUGUUCGAACACCUAUCUGAUUGGCGAUAUUUGUAGGGAUGUCUGUUGAAUAUGUGAGAUCGAUAUGUGAACUUCCGCUUCCUUCUCCUUGUUGAAAAUCAGAAACUUCGUAUUGAGUGUAGUCAUCUCGUUCGUUUUCUACUAUCAUACUAUGGAGUAUGAUAUAUGCUCUCAUAAUCUUUCCAAUCUUGACUUUAUCCCAAGAAAGUGCCGGAUUUUUAACAAUGGGAAAUCGAGCUUGCAAGACUCUGAAAGCACGUUCGACAUCUUUUCGGGCAGCUUCUUGACGUUGAGCAAAUAAAACUGCUUUAGGCCCUUGUGGAAUUGGAAUAGAUUAGAUAAAAGUUGCCCAUUUUGGAUAAAGAUCAUCGGUGAGAUAGUAAGCCAAAUGAUACUCUCUUCCGUUGACCGAGAAAUUCACUUGCGGAGCUUGACCAUUUAUUAUGUCAUCAAAAACAGGUGAGCGAUCAAGAACAUUGAUAUCAUUUAAGGUACCUGGAGGUCCAAAAAACGCAUGUCAUAUCCAAAGAUCAUAUGAAGCAACCGCCUCUAAAACGAUUGUCGGUUUUCCAGAACCACAAGAAUAUUGCCCUUUCCAAGCGGUGGGACAAUUCUUCCACUCCCAAUGUAUACAAUCGAUGCUUCCUAUCAUCCCGGGAAAUACACGAAGCUCUCCAAUAUGAAGUAGACGUUGAAGAUCAUCCUGUGUUGGUCUUCUUAGGUACUGAUCGCCGAACAAAUCUAUUACUGCUUCGACAAAAUUUUCCACACAUAACCGAGUAGUGGUUGCACCGAGCCUGAGGUAUUCGUCGACCGCAUCAAGCGCAGAACCAUAUGCCAACACACGAAUAGCUGCUAUACACUUUUGAAGUGUAGAGAUACCAAGCCUUCCGAGACCGUCCUUCUUCUGGCGAAAGAAUUGAACUUCAUUUGAAAGACGAUCAACAAUAUGCAUGAACAAUGGUUUGUUCAUUCGAAAUCGUCGUCGGAAUAGAUUUUAUGGAUACGUUGGAGCGUCACUAAAAUAAUCAUUCCAUAAUCGGAGAUGACCUUCUUCACGGUUUCUUUCGAUAAAAACUCUUCUUUUUCUUGUCUUCUCACCCAAAUUCUCAAAUGCUUCAUCGAAUGCUUCAUCGAAAGUUUGAUCAAAAUAUUGAUCGAAAUUUUCAUCCAUUGACUCUUCGAAAUUGUUAUGAGAAGAAGAUGUCAUGAGAUGAAAUUUUUUAAGAUUUUUAUAAGUGUGCUUGUGAUGAGAAUUGAGAGAAUGGACAGAAUUGAGAGAAUGAAAAAUAGUUUUUUAUAAGUGAAAAUUGUUAUGAAAACUUAAAGAGAAUUGAGGGAAUUGAGAGAAUGAGUGUGUUUGUGAUGAGAAUUUAAAGAGAAUGGAGGGAAUUGAGAUGAUGAGUGUGAUGGAUGAUAACUUGCAAGAAAUGAGAGAAUGAGAGAAUGAGAAAGUUAAAAAUACUAUAAGUGUGAUUGCGAUGAGUCAUUUUUAUAAAACUCUAGUGACAUCUCCGUGAUGCAAAAUAACAAGAGGGAAAUAAUACAAAACUCUCGUGUUUUUCUUGUUCUGUACAAGUCAGCCAUGAACAGAAAAAUACAAAACUCUUGUGACAGAAAAAUACAAUAGUACAAGUCAUUCACAAGACAAUACAAAACUCUCGUGUUCUUCUCUGCCUCCGGCUGUCGUGUUCUUCCUGCCUCUCCACUCUCGUGAUACAAGAGUACAAGCCAUCACCUCACUGCUGUCUACAAGAGUACAAGACAACAUUAUACAAAAACCAUUUGUUAAAUACAACUAAGCAACAACAAGAACAUCAGUGUCAUAGAACAAGAUCAGCAACAUUUAAGCAUUACAUUUAAACAACUAAGCAAAACAGAACAAGAACAUCAUCCGCUUACAACAAGAACAAGAACAUUUAAGCAUUACAGGAACUACAUUAAACAGAACAAGAACAAGUUUUAACGAAAUAGAACAAGCAAGAGAACAAGACAACUAGAAUCAGAACAAUUCAUUGAUGAGUUUUUUUUUUUGAGGGCUUCCUCAUACUCAGCCAAAUGUUCUUUUUUUUUUCAAUAAGACUCUCAAGCAGUCUCAUCUUAGAUAAGCGUUCUUUAGCUUCCAAAUCCUACGGUUUGAUUGUCCACAUAUUUUCAAACUUAUUCACAGUCUUCUCCUCAACAAACGUCAUCUUCCCACUCGCCUUUGAGGCUUUAACACCCGGUGGACGCUUCUUAGAAUCUGCUUGAGAUGCUGAAGAAUCUGCACCAUCCUCACAUUUUCUUUUUUUUAGAGGUUCCUUCGUCCUUAGCAGAUGAAAGCUCACACCACUUCUGGUCGUUCCUCAGCUCCUUCCAAGCAUGUUCAAUGAGGAAUUUCUUCUUAUGGUUGUUGUAAAAUAUUUGAUAAGCUAGUUUGAGCACAUCGUUUUCGUUUUGACCAGAAGUCUUCUCUCUGCUUGCAGCUUCAUAGGCUCCACAGAACUUGCAAACGAGAUCAUUGAUCUUGUGCCAACGGUGCUUGCAAUGACUACCCUCUCUCUGUUCGCAGCCACCAUCUUGACGACUUUCCGUAAAGUAAGCUGCUACUCUUGUCCAGAAAGUGCUUGACUUUUGCUCAGUGCUAUCUACUGCAUCUUUGCUCGUGUUUAACCACGAGCUGAUCAGCACAACAUCAUCCGCUGGUGUCCAUUUUUUUCUUUCUCUACGGUUAGCAGGAGUGUCUCUAACGAAGGCUGAAUCAGCUGUACCUUGACUGGCAAGAAAAGGAACUUGGGUUGAAGAGAGGUCGACACUAUCUUCAUAGGAUCCAAAGGCAAUAUCUUGUUGACUAUUGAGUAAAUCAACAAACUUUGGAUUCUGCAUAUAUGGAUAGGAAUCCAUAUACGAAGAUGAUAAAGAAGAGAAAAAUUAAAGACAAAAGGGGAGGAAGUGGGAAGAGAAGGCCCCAUGCGCUUGCUCAAGAAAGAGGAGAACGAGAGUGUUUAAUAGGAGGAAGAGAAGCAUUGAACACAACCAAUUCGAGUGAACAUAUGUCUAACGUAAUUAUCACACAAGACCAUCGAUAUGUAUCAAACCAUAACUACAAUUUAUUAUCUUAACACAACCAUAACCUAACGCAUUCAUCACACACGCAUUUAUUACGGUUAUUACCUAAACUAACCAUCAACAUUUACACCAACGAGAACAAAGAGAGGGGUUUACAUGUAUCAACAAUCGUAGGACUUUGCUCUCAUGAACCUGGAUCAAGCAUCUUGAUCAAACAACCUAAAGACAAAAAAGACAGAAACAAAUCACUUCCAAAACAAACAACAUCAUAUUAAGAUAAGAGCUCUCGACAGAGAAUAAAAAGCAACAUCAACAAACCACAAACAACCAAAUGUAAUUAACAAUGCUUCAUCCAAUUCACGAGACCAAAUACAUAGGUUUUAUCCAAUUCAACAGAGCAAAGACAAAGGUCUACCUUUAUCAUGUAGCUCUUGAUCGUGUGGCUUUUGUUAUGAAUAAUCGUGUGGCUUUUGCCUGAGAAACCUUGAUCAUGCCUCUUGAUUCUUCCAUCUCACAACACAAAGACAGGAAAAAAAUCAAAACAAAUUAUUGCAUGUUCCUCAUUUUAAUUUUCUCGAUCUGUUCGAGAUAACCAAAAUCAAAUACAUGCAAAAUUGAAAUAUCCAAACAAAUAUACAUAUUAACAACGCUUGAGAGAGAGAGAGAGCCGUUUUUCGCCGAGGAGAGGAAAGAAACAGAGAGAGAAAGUGCCGUUUCCCUUCCUCAACGACAGCCACCGACAGAGACGUGGCCUUAUCGUCGAACAGAGCCACCUAUCGGGAGAGAUCUCGCCUUUCGCCGAGGAGAGGAAAGAAACAGAAAGAGAUCUCGCCGUUUUCCUUGGUGGACGAGAGCAACAGAUAGAGGGGACGUCGUUCGCCUUCGACAGCCACCGAGAGAGACGCCGCCGUUUCAUCGAAGAGAGCCACCGAUCGCAAGAGAUGUCGCCUUUCGCCACAGAGAGAAAGAGAGAGAGAGAAAAAAAGAAAAGAAGAAACGCGACGGAAGCCAACGACACCUGUCCUCCAGCCAUUUACUUUGCGACACGUGCACGGUAAGGGGCGACGCUUCCCGUGCUUAAUUAAGCAACGCCUGUUCUCUUUUUAUCUUUUUUUUCUAUUAUUUUAAUUGCAAUUAGCCUUAAGCAACAACCUUAAGCUACUGCAAUAAACUUGCUUUACAUAAUAAAUUUAUAAUUGUUGGAACCUCUGUUUCUUGUACAAAAUGAAUAGGCUGACUUUUUCGGUGGUUAAUGGUUGUCGUUGCCAGAUUAAUAGUUUGUUGGAAAGGUUGCAACGAGCAUUAUAUAUUCUUGAAUUGAAUGAGAGAGGGAGAGAGCAAGUUGAAAUGAUCAAAAGACAAAAGACGUCAUUUCCUUCCCACAUGAUUUUCUUUGGUCAAAGGUUUCAAAAUUUAACUGAAUGAAAAUCUGAUGACCAAAAAAAGACAAGGAAAAGAACGUGAGGAGAAGGAAAAAGUACUUUUAAUGGGGGCGGUAGCCGUUAGGUUUCGAGCUCCAGUCUUAAUGGGGGCAAAAAAAAGGAUUUGGCCAACUAAGCUAUAGAUAUACGUGAUGUCUAAUGCACAAACAUUAAUUUGUAAAUUUUUGUGGGGGCAGCUGCCACCUUCCUAUCCUACUUAGAUCUGCCAUGGUUCGGCUCCCCCACGUGCGUCGUCCACAGCCCGCUCAGCAUGGGACAUGUCUAGUCGCACUAACAAAGUGAAAUUAAGAGUUAAGGAAAGAUAUAUCAUAUUUCGACUCCAUGUCGUUUACGGAAACGUUUUCAAAUUUGACUUACUGUUUCAUUUAUUUUAGGGAAGUUUACUCAAACAUAACAUAUUUUAGGAAAAUUGACUAGAACCAUACAAAUCUUUUUUUCUAUUACUGGCAUUUUUUAAAUACCAAGCGUGCCAUUUUUUACGUUAUCAGAAAAAUGGUAUUUACAAGAAUGCAAUUACUUUCCGUUGCCACAUAAGCAAAAACCUGGCGCUACGUAGGAAUUGGGUUCCGUGUUUUCUUUAAGUCAGCCGUAAAUCGUAACAUACGUCAUUACGGCUGAUUUAUUGCUACGUGUCGGCUGAAUUAAUAAACACGGCUAACUUAAGAGGAAAUGGCUAACUUAAGAACAUAAGUCAGCCGCCCGGUACGACUGAUUUACAGAAAUGUGGCUGAUUUAUGGGAUAAUGGAUGACUUACAUACACAAGUUACAACUGACUUAUACAUCGGCGGUAUGAUUUCUGGAAAAUCCGGCUGAGUUGUAGUUAAGAAAUGGCUGAGUUAUGUUUCCCUGACUAAAUCCUCUGUUCUGUCUGAUCGAAUCUUCAAUAUUUUAUAAUUCUUUUCAUUCUGCUUUCUUUUGAUUGUCUGCAGCCAAACAUGACUAGCGAAGUCUCUGAGCGGAUUCAUGUGUGUUUCUUCCCCUUCAUGGCUCACGGCCACAUGAUUCCUAUUCUGGACAUGGCCAAGCUUUUCUCUAGCAGAGGAGCCAAAUCAACCAUCAUCACAACGCCAAGCAACUCUAAGAUCUUGGAGAAACCCAUUGAAGCAUUCAGAAACCAAAACCCUGGUCUCGAAAUCGGAAUCAGGAUCUUCGACUUCCCUAGCGUAGAGCUUGGAUUGCCUGAAGGGUGCGAGAACGUUGACUUCAUCACCUCAUACCAAAAGCCUGACGCAGGUGACUUGUUCUUAAAGUUUCUUUUCUCUACCAAGCAUAUGAAACAGCAGUUGGAAAGUUUCAUCGAGACAACCAAACCGAGCUGUAUUGUUGCCGAUAUGUUCUUCCCUUGGGCGACGGAAGCCGCAGAGAAGUUUGGUGUCCCAAGACUUGUGUUCCACGGUACAUCUCUCUUUUCCUUGUGCUGUUCUUACAACAUGAGGACUCAUAAGCCACACAAGAAAGUUGCUACGACUUCUACUCCUUUUGUAAUCCCUGGUCUCCCGGGGGACAUAGUCAUCACAGCAGAGCAAGCCAAUGUUGCUGACGAAGAGACUCCGAUGGGAAAGUUUAUGAAAGAGGUCAGAGAAUCGGAGUCAAUUAGCUUUGGUGUUCUGGUGAAUAGCUUCUACGAGCUGGAAUCGACUUACGCUGAUUUUUACCCUAGCUUUGUUGCUAAAAGAGCUUGGCAUAUCGGUCCGCUUUCGCUCUGCAACAGAGAGAUAGCGGAGAAAGCUGGAAGAGGCAAGAAGGCGAGCAUUGAUGAGCAAGAAUGCCUCCAGUGGCUCGACUCUAAGACACCUGGUUCAGUUGUUUACAUGUCCUUUGGCAGUGGAACUAACUUCACCAACGAGCAACUGUUAGAGAUCGCUGCUGGUCUUGAAGGCUCUGAACAAAACUUCAUCUGGGUGGUUAGGAAAAAUGAUAACAAAGGUAAUAUGGAUAACUCACUCAAAAUUUCAUUGUUGCUAUACCUCAUUUGAUAGCAUGGUGUUGACUGUUGAAUUACGUAACAAUUAUUUAUUGUUAUUUUUUGACUAAUUACAUAACAAUUAUGAAAUGAAACUUGGUGUUGAUGCGGUUUGG